rnacentral:rRNA from 1 species
UACAGAGGUCUCAAGCGUUGUUCGGAUUCAUUGGGCGUAAAGGGUGCGUAGGUGGUGAUGCAAGUCUGGUGUGAAAUCUCGGAGCUCAACUCCGAAAUUGCACCGGAUACUGCGUGACUCGAGGACUGUAGAGGAGAUCGGAAUUCACGGUGUAGCAGUGAAAUGCGUAGAUAUCGUGAGGAAGACCAGUUGCGAAGGCGGAUCUCUGGGCAGUUCCUGACACUGAGGCACGAAGGCCGGGGGAGCAAACGGG